rnacentral:rRNA from 1 species
CGGUGUUUAACUGGCGUGAUGUGGGACGUCCUACCGGUGGGCUUAGCCUCGCGAGGGGCGGCCCAACUAAUAUCCCGUCGCGGUGCUCUUUACUGAGUGUCGAGUCGGGCCGGUACGUUUACUUUGAACAAAUUAGAGUGCUUAAAGCAGGCUAUCCUCGCCUGAAUACUGCGUGCAUGGAAUAAUGGAAUAGGACCUCGGUUCUAUUUUGUUGGUUUUCGGAACCCCGAGGUAAUGAUUAAUAGGGACAGAUGGGGGCAUUCGUAUUGCGACGUUAGAGGUGAAAUUCUUGGAUCGUCGCAAGACGGACAGAAGCGAAAGCAUUUGCCAAAAAUGUUUUCAUUAAUCAAGAACGAAAGUUAGAGGUUCGAAGGCGAUCAGAUACCGCCCUAGUUCUAACCAUAAACGAUGCCAGCUAGCGCUCCGCCGAAGUUCCUCCGAUGACUCGGCGGGCAGCUUCCGGGAAACCAAAGCUUUUGGGUUCCGGGGGAAGUAUGGUUGCAAAGCUGAAACUUAAAGGAAUUGACGGAAGGGCACCACCAGGAGUGGAGCCUGCGGCUUAAUUUGACUCAACACGGGAAACCUCACCAGGCCCAGACACCGGAAGGAUUGACAGAUUGAUAGCUCUUUCUUGAUUCGGUGGGUGGUGGUGCAUGGGCCGUUCUUAGUUGGUGGAGCGAUUUGUCUGGUUAAUUCCGAUAACGAACGAGACUCUAGCCUGCUAAAUAGGCGUACCUUAUGGUAUCGCGAAGGCCCCCGGCUUCGGCCGGUGGGUUUUUACUACCAACGUACAAACAAAUCUUCUUAGAGGGCACAGGCGG